AGGAGGAUGUGAAAAACAGAGAAAACUGGAGAAAAGAUCACUUUUUUAGUAAAACAUGUCAGUGACUGAACAUGAACCCAGUGUCUUUAUCCACUGUCAUUCAUUCAACUCCAUGGGUUUUACUGGCUGAAUCAGUGUUGUAGAAG